GGGUCUUGGGUGCUCAGAGCACAGUCUAGAAGAGGGUCAAGAGCUCUAACUAGGAGAAGCGGCUGCUGUGUCAAGCGAACACUCAGGCAGCCCUGUGGAGAGGCCUGGCGGGGGGCGGGAGUGGAACUGAGGCCUCCUGCCGGCUGCCAGGCUAGAAGCUGGUUGACGCCCCAGUUCCGAUCAAGCUUUGGAUGAUGGCAUCCUGACCUACAGCCUCAUAACCAUGCAGCUGUCACCUCCUGAGAAACAGGUCAGCACCCCCGGGGGGACUCCCACCCCUGGAAUCUUGCUACUACUUUCAUUCUUCUGCCGCUUCCUGUUGUGUCCUGGGAACUCUUUGUUAACUUGGCGCUCUGCCCACUGCUCUGCACAGACCGGCCCGUCUCUCUGGACAUACUGGGAAUCAGGAUGCUUCUAACUUGUCAUUCUGAGACUGAGGACUGUGUGUUAAAUCGCCAACAGCCGGAACCAUCUCUGUAUAAAUGUGACAUCAUUACUUUUUUUCACAAAGACCUUAUCAGGGAGAAACAUUCCAUUUUACGGGUGGGAAUGCAGUUCUGGGGAAGUAUUUAACGGCCAGCCAGCAGUGGCAGAAAGCCAGGAGAAAACGGAAAAUCCCGUCAUCCUUUCUGACAGCGCAGUAAUAACAUGCGCAUCUGUUUCAUGUGUACAGCUACCUCAAAGUCUGGUCACACCUACUUCUCAGUGUUGGGAAUGUAGCAGAAUAUUGAUGCUUUCUUCCUUUGCUCUUUCUCGAAGAUGCACGCUUCUCACUAGUCAACACGCCACAGCUCUCGCCUGCGAUAUUCCAAUAUCCGAGGAUUCUCUCCCACUUGCUUAAAAAAAAAAAAAAAAAAAAAAAAAAUCUUGCUGGGCACCUGGCUGGCAGGCUCAGCUGGUGGAGUCUGUGGUUCUUGAUCUGGGGUUGUGAGUUUGAGCCUCACAUUGGGAGUAGAGAUUACUUAAAAAACAAAAACCCACAACAAAAACAGCUUGCCACUAACCUUGAGGUCAUCUUUGACUUUUCCGUCCAAAUUCCGUGUCAACAAAGUCCUCAUCAUUCUUGGAUAUGUCUCUUUGAUUCACCUUUUCAUGUAUUUGAGUUUAUCCAAGUAACACAGGAGCAUGGAGUGCAGAAUCCUGGAGUAAAAGGAGAAAGGUGCCCCUGGCUGUUUGUUUACAAGUUCUUCUCAUCCCACUCCAGCUGCCCCUUUGCAAAGUCACUCUGCCAUUCCUCUCUUCAGGAGGGGUCUGUUUCCUGGUCCCUUAAACUGGGCUGACUUUGGACUUGUUUGACCUGCGGAGCCCUGUGGCGUGCUGUUGCGGAGUUGCCGGGCCAGCCUCGGCCAGUCAGCGGUUCCCUACUUCUGAUCUCCCGGCGCAGGGACGCGCCUAGGGGGUCCUGGAAGGAAUCUGGCUUCUCGCACUGCAGCGAGAAGCCAAGGAGGCUGAGGCCCCCGGGCUGGUGGCCACCACCCAUCCCUGCAGCUGGGUCAGAGCUGGGGCGGGGGGGGGGGGGGCGCGGAACCCAGCGCAGGA